GCCUCAGUGGUGCAGUGGUAACACGCCCCCUCAGUAUGGGUGAACACGAGUUCAACUCCCGCCUGCGAUCA